rnacentral:rRNA from 1 species
UACGAAGGGGGCUAGCGGUUGCUCGGAAUCACUGGGCGUAAAGGGUGCGUAGGCGGGUCUUUAAGUCAGGGUGAAAUCCUGGAGCUCAACCUCCAGAACUGCCUUUGAUACUGAGGAUCUUGAGUUCGGGAGAGGUGAGUGGAACUGCGAGUGUAGAGGUGAAAUUCGUAGAUAUUCGCAAGAACACCAGUGGCGAAGGCGGCUCACUGGACCGGUACUGACGCUGAUGCGCGAAAGCGUGGGGAGCAAACGGG